rnacentral:rRNA from 1 species
AUUGAACGCUGGCGGCAUGCCUUACACAUGCAAGUCGAACGGCAGCACGGGUGCUUGCACCUGGUGGCGAGUGGCGAACGGGUGAGUAAUACAUCGGAACAUGUCCUGUAGUGGGGGAUAGCCCGGCGAAAGCCGGAUUAAUACCGCAUACGAUCCACGGAUGAAAGCGGGGGACCUUCGGGCCUCGCGCUAUAGGGUUGGCCGAUGGCUGAUUAGCUAGUUGGUGGGGUAAAGGCCUACCAAGGCGACGAUCAGUAGUUGGUCUGAGAGGACGACCAGCCACACUGGGACUGAGACACGGCCCAGACUCCUACGGGAGGCAGCAGUGGGGAAUUUUGGACAAUGGGCGAAAGCCUGAUCCAGCAAUGCCGCGUGUGUGAAGAAGGCCUUCGGGUUGUAAAGCACUUUUGUCCGGAAAGAAAUCCUUGGCUCUAAUACAGUCGGGGGAUGACGGUACCGGAAGAAUAAGCACCGGCUAACUACGUG